GUUUUGUUAUCUGUAACUGACAUCACGUUAGCUUCCAGGUAUGAACAACCGGUAAGUAGUUUCAAAGACAACUUCUAUGAUUUAACUUUACACGGGAUCAAUACAAAUCAAAUUACAGGAAGGCUGGUUCCAGUCGAGCGCGAAUUUACAUUCGCAGCGUCUACCGAAAUUUCACCACAGGGAUAACCUAAUUCUGAGCACGGCUAUAGCCGUAUACUUUUUCCACGGAUGGUAAAAGGAAGAGCGCGGUCAUACGACCUGCACCUCUUUGUACUGGAUAGUCAGGAAGGGUUUCAGAGCGCGGUACUACAACCGGCACGUCUGAGGUAAAUUAUUCAACGGGGCGGGUGUCAGAGCGCGAUUUACAAUCGCUAACGUCUGACCAGGAAACAGGAAAGAAUUUCUUAGGAUCAGGAAAACAAUUCUAAGACGAGUCCCCUUUCUGGUCUGGUUUCUGUUUAUAUAGUCUGUGGAAGGAAGUGGGAAUGUAAUGGUGAUGGUAAUCGUACUGGUGGGAAUGUCCACAAACAUGACGUCUUUGAAACUACCGCCCUCUCCUGAUAGAAAUCUAGAUUAAUUUCCAAUUCCUACAGGAAUCAAAUUACAAAUUAAUCUUAUAACAUUUCACAUCAUUACAGAAUCUAUGUGCGAUUUGGCCAGCAAGGCUACGUAAUUUGCUACCUUGCUUUUAAUAGAGGGAUUUUAUUGCACCAAUGAUGAGUCACCAGUUGUACAGCUACCUUGUUUUGUUACUUGCUUGGUCAGCCAGUUCUUUGUUUUGCAACUUGCUUUUAACCUGUUUUUAUAUUAUGUUUUGUUGUGUAUAGGAUUAGUACUUAUCAUGCUUCAUUAUCAAUCAAUUACAACAAAUUAUUUUAUACAUUAACCACAGUUUCACUAUUGCACAUUCGAGAUUCGAACUAUUAAAAUAACUGAGCAGACAUUCAAAAUACUAAUUAUGCUAUUACGCCAUUAUAUUACUUAUUUUCUGAUCCUUCCCUCCUACUGCACUUCAGAUCAUAGCGUGAGGGGGGCCGUCUUGGAUGUUUGAUCACGUGCCACUUUUCAGUUUCAAAUGUAAGUGGGAUAUGUUUAGUUUUGGAGAGAGUACAUUCCGAGGGCAAUUUUUGAACCUUGCCGGGUUGAUUUUAUUUCCGUGUUAUUGUAGUGUGAAGUUGGCAUAGAACCUGGGGGUUCAGUACAUUACAAGUGGAUUAUAACACAACCAGACCCCACAUACUAAAAAUAAGAAACGUUUGUAAUGUUCCUAGGGGUCUAUCAAGUCGACACUGAAAACGUUGACUUACUCUUUACUUAUCCUUGGAAACUCUGGGAAAAAACUACAAGCAGAGCCACCUACCUUUCAAAUCAAAACGAUGGACCUUUCGCGUCACUUUUGAAUUUGGAUGGCAGUCGGAUCGAUAUGGGUGGCACGAAUGAACUCCUACGUUGUGUAAUCGGGAAGGGAAUUAAAUAAAAGACAGAACUUUUGUGCGUAAGA